AUUGAACGCUGGCGGCAGGCUUAACACAUGCAAGUCGAGCGGGGUGAUGGUGCUUGCACUAUCACUUAGCGGCGGACGGGUGAGUAAUGCUUAGGAAUCUGCCUAUUAGUGGGGGACAACAUCUCGAAAGGGAUGCUAAUACCGCAUACGUCCUACGGGAGAAAGCAGGGGAUCACUUGUGACCUUGCGCUAAUAGAUGAGCCUAAGUCGGAUUAGCUAGUUGGGGGGGUAAAGGCCUACCAAGGCGACGAUCUGUAGCGGGUCUGAGAGGAUGAUCCGCCACACUGGGACAGAGACACGGCCCAGACUCCUACGGGAGGCAGCAGUGGGGAAUAUUGGACAAUGGGGGGAACCCUGAUCCAGCCAUGCCGCGUGUGUGAAGAAGGCCUUAUGGUUGUAAAGCACUUUAAGCGAGGAGGAGGCUCUUUUGGUUAAUACCCAGAAUGAGUGGACGUUACUCGCAGAAUAAGCACCGGCUAACUCUGUGCCAGCCGCCGCCGUAACAC
rnacentral:rRNA from 1 species